rnacentral:sRNA from 1 species
GUUUGACAAUUCAAGGAUGGUUGGCUCACUCCUACAGAAAGGGGUGAUGCCUGUGACAGUAUUUGAAACACUAAUGUUUGCCGUAACAUUCGCAGCAUUAAUCAUAACAAUACUCUCAUUCAGUCAUAAAAAAUAACCCAUCAUUGAGUUAGCCGCUCAGAUGGGUUACUUCUACCACUGUAGCCAGCCCCUUGAAGAGACCGACU